UAUGUCCACACAGAAAUGUGUACAUGGGUGUUCAGAGCAGCUUUGUUUGUAAGAGCUCCAAAUUGGAAACGACCCAAGUGUCCAUCAGUGGAUGAUCACAGUCGUGUUAAACUGCAAAAUGCUGAAAAUGAUUAUAUUAAUGCCAGCUUAGUUGACAUAGAAGAGGCGCAGAGGAGUUACAUCUUAACACAGGGUCCACUUCCUAAUACAGGUUGUCAUUUCUGGCUCAUGGUUUGGCAGCAAAAGACCAAAGCAGUUGUCAUGCUAAACCGAAUUGUGGAGAAAGAAUCGGUUAAAUGUGCACAGUACUGGCCGACAAAGGAUGACCGAGAGAUGCUGUUUAAGGAAACAGGCUUCAGUGUGAAGUUCCUGUCGGAAGACGUGAAGUCCUAUUACACAGUCCAUCUGCUGCAGUUAGGAAACACCAGUAGUGGUGAAACCAGAACAAUAUCUCACUUUCAUUAUACUACCUGGCCAGAUUUCGGAGUCCCUGAAUCACCAGCUUCAUUUCUCAAUUUCUUAUUUAAAGUGCGAGAGUCUGGCUCUUUGAAUCCUGAACACGGGCCUGCGGUGAUCCACUGUAGUGCCGGCAUCGGGCGGUCAGGCACCUUUUCUCUGGUGGACACUUGUCUUGUUCUGAUGGAAAAAGGAGACAAUAUUAAUAUUAAACAACUGUUACUGAAUAUGAGAAAAUACCGAAUGGGGCUGAUUCAGACACCAGAUCAACUCAGAUUUUCAUACAUGACUAUAAUAGAAGGAGCAAAGUUUAUAAAGGGAGAUUCAAGUAUACAGAAACGGUGGAAAGAACUUUCUAAGGAAGAUGUAUGUACUGUUUUCGAUCAUUCACCAACCAAAAUAAUGACAGAAAAAUACAAUGGGAACAGGAUAGGCCUAGAAGAAGAAAAACUGACAAGUGACAGGUAUACAGGACUGUCCUCUAAAAUUCAAGAUACUCUGGAGGAAAACAGCGAGAGUGCUCUGCGCAAGCGCCUUCGGGAGGACAGGAAAGCCAGCACAGCUCAGAAGGUGCAGCAGAUGAAGCAGAGGCUGAACGAGACCGAACGAAAAAGGAAAAGGUGGUUAUAUUGGCAACCUAUUCUCACUAAGAUGGGGUUUGUGUCCGUCAUUUUGGUUGGCGCUUUUGUUGGCUGGACACUGUUUUUUCAGCAAAAUGCCCUAUAAAUAAUUAAUUUUGCCCCGCAAGCUUCGGCACUGGUAGCUGACAGUGUUGCGUGAAUCACAGGGGUUCAUCUGUUAGCAAACUCCUCAGACACCAGACGGUGCAGUUGACUAGACACCCACAGAGAAUUGGGGUGUGCAGUCCCCUCAGCACCCCAAGGCGCUGCCCACACUGUACCCGCUCCCUAAAAUAAAGACUUGAAUGCUUCUUAAGAACUGGUACAUUUUCAACUGUAUUCAUACAUGUUAAGUGUAAUAUUUCACCUGACCAGACUGAGAAGUCCUUUAUCACGAGGAUUCGUUUUUGGAGGCUGUCUGGAUUUUAACCUGCACUUGAUAUAAGCAAUAAAUAUUGUGGUUUUAUGGACAUUAUUACUGGAAAGAAAAUGACCUUUAAGUAAUGCGUGUAAUGUAUAAUGUACUGUUCACAUGGGCAUCAACAUUUUAUAUUCUUAACCAUUGCAGGGUAAAUAUAUUUUAUAAGUACCUAUUUAAUCUUACUUUUGUAGUUAAAUGUACUUUUUAAAAGCUCAAUUUGAAAAAAUAUCUGUUACCACAAAAAAAAUAAUAAAGUGUAUGUUGAUUCAAUUGUACUGGAUACAUUUUCCUGAAGAAAAGUUUGAUAUGAGCAGGUAGAACUCUGAAUAAGCAAUUUUUACUAUAUAUUUGCAUUUCUUUUAUGUUUUACAGUUUUCCCAAUUUUAAAAAGAAAAAGAAACAAAAAUUAUCUCUAAAAAUAUCUUUGAAGGAAAAUUCUCCUUACUGGCGUAGUCAGUUCAUUGGUUUGGAUUUGAUUCCAUCUUUCCUUGUAUCUGUCUUCAAAGCACUGUUUCUGGGACAGCAGCACCCACAGCCCCUACAACAGCAGAUAAGUUAGAAAUGCCAGGUGUCCUCUUGUUCUGCUGAAUGUGGAUGAGUGAUGUCAUGUUGCAGAGUACUGCCCCGGCUAAGCAGUGACUCAGCCCGAGGGGCUUUUAGUUGGGUCGAGGGAUUGUCUUUAUCAGUAACAACCUGACAACGAGAAUUCUCAAACGCUAUGACCAUCUCUGUGCAGUCCAGUGAGAGAAUGAAAAAUCCAAUCAUUGGUACUCAUUUCUGUUUGGGUUUUAUAAUUUAGAGUGGAAUAUGGGAAUUUUAGGAUCUAGGGAGGAUAUUACUUGCAGAGUCUACUUUACUACUAUUGUCUGGUUUUCCAUCACAUGGUAUGUUGGGGGAGCUAUAAGGAGAAUGGAAUGGGAAUUUUUUUCUUUAUGAAGACCAUUUUUUAAAGAAAAGCAUCAAGUCUUUAUUGUUGCUCUAAUUUGGCAUAGAUUUUUUUAGACAUAUGAUGAUGUUGAUAUUUCAAAUUACUACAAUAAAAAACCUGAAGUUAUUUUGAGUUUGGUUAAUUCGGGAGUUUCCCACUGGGUAAGGUGAUGUUGUCUGUAAGGCAGUGAGUGCCUUGCUCACUGCAGAAAAGUGUGUGGGACUCUUUUCAGUAAAGCAAGGAUGAGUAUCUGGUGGCAAGAACUACUUUGGUGUGGAGCCAGCCCCUGUCAAGACCUUUUAGUUCUAAGGGGUGGUUCAUCCUUGCUGAGUGUGUCUUUAACACACCGCUGGGGAGGCAGCACCUGCCGGUUCUGCCAGUCAGUAGAUACACCUCUCCAAGGUGCAUCCCGUUACCCGAUUUUCAGAGGAGAAAACUGAGUCAAAGAAUAAGUAACUUGCCCAAGGUUUUACAUCUAGAUCACGACAGAGCUGAGAUUUGAACUCCAGGCUGUAGAAUCCCAGUAACUCCAGGCCUCACACUUUCCCAUUAUGUCACACGCAACCUGUUUUUAUGGAAUAUUUAAAUGGAAAAGCAUUAGACAGCUACUGUUACCCAUUAAAAUCCAAAGUAACCCUCUUUUUAUUUUUUAAGUGAAACAAAUCAGUUUUCCCCUCCAAAAAAAUUUGUGGAACAGUUUGAACUACCACGGAGCCAGAGUAAUACUGGAACAUCAGAGCACUCUCUAAACCAAACCAUUAUUUCAUUCACUCUGACUGGAUCAGUUCCUUGGUUUUAACAAGGGGACUUCUGAAGGUGUGGGAAACACAUGCAUAUUUUGCAGCACUCAGGGUCAGUCAGAAGCUCCUUUCCUCACAUCAGCCACUUUGGUUCAGGGUUCUCAGGUCCCUGCAAGAAGCACCUGUGGUAGUUUCUGUGACCACAGGCACCUAACAAGAAUGCUUCCUUGGUGUCUGGACAUUUCUCUGUCAGUGCUGGAAAUGAAACACCAAGGAGCCAGCAGUCAGGAAGAAGCCAACUCGUAGUAUUGGGGGUUUUGACUAAAUGUUUUGGAUAAAUGUGUGGGUGUGGUUUAUAUCUCCUAUUUAUACACGUGGAGGCACAAUAAUGACAAGUAUUUAGAUCUGGGGUUUUUUUUUGUCAGAGCAAGGGACGUUGAGGGGAAAUACCAGUUACCACCUCAGAAGUUCAGCUAUUUGCAAAAUUGUGAAAUAACAUUAAAAACUCACCUGCCCUUAAAUUAGUUGUUAUUUCAUCUCUCUAUCACUUGUUUAAACUCUCAUUUAUCUUUACUUUUUGGCAUUAAAGUACAAUAAAUCUAUCAAUUAUUUUAUGUCUGUGUUUUCUUUUAAUACUUAAAUCAUGUCACUUCAGUUUGUAUUUCUGUGAUCAUUAGUAUUACCCUUCAGGACAAAAAGCAUGCUGCUAACAGUCUGUGAGUUAAAGAUAUAAGCCAACUUUAUGUUCAUACAUUACAUUCAUAAUAUUUUUAGCAGUAUGAUACAGUGGAGGUCCAAAUUGGAUUAGACUUUUGCAUUGAAUUCCAAAGUAUUGGUAAGUCUAGCACAUACCAUAUAAUCUUGCUAAACUGUUGUGGGUACAUUUUUUUUUUUUAACUGUCUGUCUGUCAGUAUAGCUCACAUGGAGGUCAUUUCUUGAGUAAUACAGGAUGACCUAAAAAAAUUCAUAGUUAUUCUUGUAAAAGAGUGAGAGUUAUGGUGCUUUAACAUGAGUCUACCUCACACCACCAAUUCUGUUUGAAAAUCAAGCACAUAAGCAGUUUACCAAGGUAACAGCGAAGCACUCAGUGUGAUUGAGUGUGAUGUGUUGGAAUGUUUUUUGGUUGCCUUUUUAGUUCAUUGUUAGUCCUUUUAUGUUUGUGUGUAUCUGUGUUCGUCUGUGUGUUUGGUAAAUAUGAAUUGAAUAGAUGACUUCUUAUUUUAUGUUUUAGGCCAAGAUUGACAGACACCUAAAUAUUCAUGACUUGAGAAUGUUCUGCAGCUAUAAAUUUUGAACCAUUGAUGUGCAAAGCAAGACCUGAAGCCCACUCCGGAAACUUAGUGAGGCCUGAUAAGCCUGUAGAUUGCCUCACAUUUGUCUGUUUACAAAGUAAACCUUACAUCCAGGGAAUGAAGAACACCACCAGCAGAAGACUUUGCAGAACACUUUCAUUUGAUGCAUUGUUAAGUUUUUUAAUGCGUGUGUGAAAUGUAGAGAGAUGUAAAAGAAAUGAAUUAGGAAAGACUACUUUGUAUUGUACUGCCAUUCCUACUGUAUUUUUAUACUUUUUGGCAGCAUUAAAUAUUUUUAUUAAAUAGA